rfam:Desulfohalobium retbaense DSM 5692, complete genome.
ACAGGGGAGCCGGGCGGCAGGAACGCAGCCAACCCCGUCAGGCCUGAGAAGGAGCAGCGGUACGCUGUUGUUUCUGGGUGCCCGGUUUCCCUUAUAA